AGUGAACGCUGGCGGCGUGCCUAAUACAUGCAAGUAGACCGGAGUGGCGCACGGGUGAGAAAUGUAUAGCUAAUCUACCCUACACUAGAGGAAAACAGAUGGAAACGGGUGCUAAUAAUCUAUAGUGUAGGAUGAGGCUAUAUUGUAUCAGCUAGUUGGGGAGGUAAUGGCUCACAAAGGCUAUGACGCAUAACUGGUCUGUGAGGAUGAGCAGUCACGCUGGAACUGAGACACGGUCCAGACUCCUUCGGGAGGCAGCAGUAGGGAAGAUUGCUCAAUGGGGGAAACCCUGAAGCAGCAACGCCGCGUGGAGGAUGACACUUUGCGGAGCGUACACUCCUUUUGUUAGGGAAGCGGUACCUAACGAAUAAGCACCGGCUAACUCCGUGCCAGCAGCCGCGGUAAUAC
rnacentral:rRNA from 1 species